rnacentral:misc_RNA from 1 species
AUAAAUUAUUUAAAAAAAAUUAAUAAUUAAAACAUAAUAAUUACAACAAACUAUUAAAAGAACAAAUGAUUUAAUAACUAAAAUUAAAUAGGAAGGUAAAACUAAUAUUGUUUUGGCAAGAAUUCAAAUCCAUGAGAGAGAGCAGAGAGAUUAAAUAUGGUCAUUUAAGAGAGAAAAUAUUUAUUUAUAUUUAUAAAUUAAGUUUAUUUUUAGAUUUUUAAUUAAAAAUUAAGGAUAUAAUAAAAAAAUAAAAAAUAAAAUA